rnacentral:tRNA from 1 species
GGUCCGUUAGCUCAGUCGGCAGAGCGUGGUGCUGAUAACACCAAGGUCGUGAGUUCAAGACUCACACGGACCA